GCCUCCACUUCUCCCACGACCUGCCAGUCUCAUAUCCCAUCUCCUCAUCUCUCCCUCUUUCCUGCGACCAACCCUGCACCCUCCCUCCGAUCAAACUCCUAUGUCGUCCCCGCUAUCGUCGGUUCUCCCUCUCUCCCUGAUUGUUCCCAAUCGAUCUUUGAGCCACCACGAUUCCCAAAUCCAUCUCCUUGCUCCCCACCCUACCCAUGGCGCCGUCGAUGCCAACGGGCUACUACAAGUGCGGUCCAACCUAAUCCCCAACCCUGUCGUACGCACCUGCCACUUCGGCCCUACCACCAGAGACGAACACCCAAGUUCGUUGCGACGCCGGAGGGUGAGGAGGCGCAGCACGAAGGCGGGAAGGAGAGGGAGACGCGGCCCAAUCUCAAGCCGAACCUGCUCCUCUCUGACAGCGGCUUGGGCUUCGUCCUCUGAUAAUUCUCCAAGACGGCCAUGCCCCACCCAUCCACGAGCUCAAACAGCUCAAGUUUCAAUCAAUCCUGGUCUGCUGAUAUGGAGAGUGCAAGACCUGGUCUUUGGUUCCUGGAACAAGUGAUUUUAUUGCCUUAUAAUUAUUUCCAUCUCAUUUCCCAAUACGGAUGAUCAGGUAUUGAAGUUAAAUCGUGUCUUAAAGUAGCUUCGGUUACUCUGUACGUAUCGAAGUUCUUCAGUUACAUUAAGAUCCAAAUUACAGAUUUUACAGGUUAUUAGGAGGUAUCCCAAUGGAUAGGACGCCCGCGGGUGGCUGUCGGCUUGAGCUGGUGCGGUACCAUCACGAAUAUCGUGAUGGGUGGACGGGGAGGAAGGGUGGAAGCUAGGGCGACAUUGGGAAAAAACACGGGCCAUCGGCAGACAAGCAAUAAAUGGUUCUUGAGCAGCACACAAGCAAGAAAUGGUGCUUGAGGUUGUAGGGCCGAGCAGGUAUACACGAGCUGUACGCAUCUCAUUUUCUUCGUCAGGUUCUAAAUGAUCCCUCGAGUUUGCAUCCAUUUGUAUUUACGUUACGAAAUCAUAUAUUCAUGGUUUAUCUCCCUUUUAAGGGUCUAGCUAAACUAAAGUGAAUACCAUUAUGUAACCAAUUUUGUAAAUUGAGUUUGAGCUUGAACAAAGAAAAGUUUACCAAAUAACACAUAAUGGGACUUAUAUUUCGGGAGAUAUUGGAGUACCACCCUCAGCUUCUCAAGGAUUACAUGAACGGCUUUGAAAAAAAUGAGCUUUCUAUAUGCCAGGUUUCUGUGACAUGCUUGUAAACUUUUUUCUCUUUUAUUUUGUUUAUGUAGCAACAUUCACAACUUCUGCCAUUGGUUCUUGAUUUUUUUGCUAUGAAGUGAUGUUGACAAUUUCUAGAGGCAAUUCGCUGACUUAGAAGAUGAUAUUGCAAAGAGCAAGGCAGUCAACAUGAAGCAUGUUUAUCUCGCAAGGUCUGCUACUUGCAGGACUACAAGAUCUGAAAAAUUAAAUACAAGCAGGACUCAACAGUUCACUCUACUAUGAUUCCUCCAACAAAUUAUCUUCCUUAUUCCUCCCAAGUUCCUCAAAGGAUUCCGAUAGGUGUUUAUUAGCAUUCUGUCACAUACUGACCUGGUAUUAUUUUUCCCAUUUAACUUCAAACAGCAUCAGUCGAACUAUUUCGCCUUUGUCACUCUCGCAGCAAGACCAGAUAGAGUGGCUUUCUCAGCGACAUCAAUGCAAAAUGCAAGUAUCACCGAUGGACGCAUUGGAUGAAUAGGGCUAAGGGAAUUGAAGUUAUACCGCUCUUGCAUGCAACAACACCUGCAGGGGACACGUAAACACUCCAGGCACGCAAGGUCACAUCGGAGGAUGGCAUGCUAUCCUCCGACUAUUACGAUUCCACCAUUCAGCAGCAUGGCCAGGGCGGGUGGAUACAACAUGGUUGCUGUGGCCGCAAGGAUGUACUACGACAAGGGUCGGGCAAGCUUGCAGGGUCGAGCAUGAGAAGGGAGCACGAGAACGGCUACAGUUCCUGUUCCAGGCAGAGGUUCAGGGUGCAGGGCCACAUGCCUAACCAAUAUAUGGCCUCUUGUGAACUUCCAUUCUCUCGGUUGUGCGCUACUACAUCCGGUCGCUCUGAGACAAAGGAGACGAUGGUGGCCAAAGAAACAUCAUCCCCAACUCAGAGCUCCAAAUCUGGUGUCUCGACAUGGAAAGAUUCGGACCUUGAGGAUUGGAGUUUGAACGAGAUGCAUUUGGUGUGAGAGAAAGAUGUCUCACAUGCUCUGUUGACAAGGAGGAGUGGGUUGGCGCUGUGUCAGCACAUGAUACUAUACAAGCUAUCAUUUGCGGUUUUUCCUUCCAGGUUAUCAGUGUUAUUUAGUACAAUGAAGAUCUUAAUUUUUACUAUAUUUUUUGUAUUUUUGUCCUGAUACACCAUUUAGGUUGCGAUAGUGGUAGAAAGACACUUAACUUGUCCUUAACCCGAUGGCGAAGGAGAUGUCCCAUGGGGAGGAAAAGGAGUGGAUGCUUGGUUGUUGUGGAAAAGGGAAACAGGGAGAAUGGCGUCGAUAUUCAGCGAGAAUAAACCGAAUGCUUGACAUUUGUGUUCAUACAAAGAACAAUCAUUUCAA